GCAAGUCGAACGAGAAAGUUUCCUUCGGGAAAUUAGUAGAGUGGCGCACGGGUGAGUAAUACGUUGGUAAUCUACCCUCGAAUUUGGGAUAACAUCGCGAAAGUGGUGCUAAUACCGGAUAAUGUUUAAAUGUCCUUGGAUGUUUAAAUCAAAGAUGGCCUCUUCUUGAAAGCUAUCGUUUGAGGAUGAGCCACGCACCAUUAGCUAGUUGGUAGGGUAAAGGCCUACCAAGGCUUCGAUGGUUAGCUGGUCUGAGAGGAUGAUC
rnacentral:rRNA from 1 species